UUGAAUAAAUUUUAUAAAUGCAUACAUUGAAAUAUUAUAUAGUCACUAAAAAGAGUGAGUUGUAUAGCAGCUUUCUCUAUAAUAGCACCAAUCUGAAAACAGCCCAGGUGUCUAUCAAUGAGAGAAUGAACAAACUAAGUGUGGUAUAUUCAUAAAAUGGAAUACUGCUAUAAAAUUUACCUUGAAGGAAAAAAAUAUUGAACACUAGCUAAUGGCAUGUGUGCAAAGUGUUUAGGGGGAAGUAUGCUGAGAAGUCUGCAACUUUCCUUGAAAUACAUUCCCCCAAAAUAAGAUGGAUUGGAUGGUUACAGAGAUGGAUAGAUGGAAAAUAAGUAUAAGUAAUAGGUUAAUGGUAGAAUCGAGGUAGUGGGCAUAAGGGUGUUUUCUGUAAAAUAUCUUUGCAUGGAAUAAGGAUUCUAUUUUUUUAGAAUAAACAAUGACAAAAAUACAAUCAUGUAUGUGUGUGGGUAGCUACCCAAAUAACCCCAUAUAGUUCUAUGACCAUGAAGAUAAUUAUAUAAAGAGCCUGGGGGAUGGAGGUGGAGAAGCGCGAGGUGAAAGGUGAGGGUGAAUAUACUCAUGCACACAAAGAGAUGCAAGAAGCAUGGGCCUCAACACAGCAUCAACAGACAGGGCUAGCACAGUUCCAGAUCACUGUAAUUUCUUUACGAACAAGACCUUGUCUCAAUUUUAAAAAGAAGAGGGUGCAAGGUGGCCUUUUGACAAGGGACUGAUCCCGAAAGGAGCCUAUAAGGGUUAUGGGGCAUGGAACGGUGCUGACGUGUGGGCACAGAACAGAGCUCUUCUACCACUCCUGGGCCAAAGGGCAAGGGCAGGCAGCCGUUCCCGUGCCUGGGGAUGGAGGGCUCCAGGAGGGACCUUCCCCAACCAGAGCUGAGACCGGGCUCUGAGGGAAGCCGCCCACUCAGGCCCCUCUGGGAGAUCAGUCUGUAAACAACCGCUCUUAUGCCAGGUGACAUCCUGACAUGUAUGUCACUGUGACAGCUGACAAUGAAGUGGCGUUUUUUUUUCAGCACCUCUCUAUAAAAAGCUGCCUCACCUGGGCAACCUGAGUGCCAGUUGUGCUAUUGUGUGUAGUAGAGGAGUGAAGAACCUGGUCAGGAGGCAAUUGCGAUUUUAUUGUUGCUAUUUAUUAUUGCAUGAUUUUUUAAAAAGAUAUUUUUGUAAUUUUUUAAAAAUGUAAACUGGCUAUCUAGAUAAUACGUUUGCAUUCCAAUUAAUUACUGCCAGGAGAAUGAAAGUCCUGUUUAAACUAACUUUGGCUUAUUGGAUGGGAUGUUUUCUGCUAUGAUUAACAGACAAGAAAAAAAUACAUAUAUAUAACAACACACUCAUCCAUGGUGUUUCUAAAGAAAAUAUCAUUUCUUAACACGAAAAAUGGUAUUUAUAGCAACUUAGUUUUUUGUUUUACUGUACCAGUUGUGUGAGAAUUUUCUUAAAAACUUCCUAAGCCUGAGUCUCAUAGCCUUGUCACUAAUUAACUGUUCCACUCAUUUAAACAUUUGCUUGCCUUUGAACCUGGGCCCUAUG
rnacentral:lncRNA from 1 species